rnacentral:misc_RNA from 1 species
GAUGAAUAACGUAGCGAAAUGCGAUACGUAAUGUGAAUUGCAAAUUCAGUGAAUCAUCGAGUCUUUGAACGCACAUUGCGCCCCCUGGUAUUCCGGGGGGCAUGCCUGUCCGAGCGUCAUUGCUGCCCUCAAGCACGGCUUGUGUGUUGGGCCCCGUCCUCCGAUCCCGGGGGACGGGCCCGAAAGGCAGCGGCGGCACCGCGUCCGGUCCUCGAGCGUAUGGGGCUUUGUCACCCGCUCCGUAGGCCCGGCCGGCGCUUGCCGAUCAACCCAAAUUUUUAUCCAGGUUGACCUCGGAUCAGGUAGGGAUACCCGCUGAACUUAAGCAUAUCAAUAAGCGGAGGA